AGCAAAUGCAGGCUGCUAUGGGAACUAUGGAUGGCAUCAUCAAUACGGUUUCUGCCGUCCACCCGAUUGUUUCCUUGAUCUUCUUACUGAAUACUCAUGGAAAGAUGAUAAUGCUUGGUAUUCCUAAUAAGCCAUUGGAGUUACCGGUAUAUGCUUUGAUUCCGGCGGGGAGGAUUGUUGCGGGAAGUUGCAUUGGUGGGAUGAAAGAUACACAAGAGAUGAUAAAUUUUGCCGGGGAGCACAACAUAACUGCAGAUGUUGAGGUUGUUAACAUGGAUUAUGUGAACACGGCCAUGGAGCGACUCGCUAAGGGAGAUGUUCGAUACCGAUUUGUCGUUGAUGUAGCAAACACUUUGCGUGCUGCUUAGAUGGUUGGUUCUCGAGGAAUCAAUGCUGUGAACAUUUUAUUUGGGAUUGAUUGUGUCAAAUAAACUUGUUGGACUAUCCUUUGUUUUUUUUUCCUUCUGUUUUGGUUUCUCUAGUACGACAUGAUGCUUA
rnacentral:misc_RNA from 1 species